CAUCAACAUCGUUCCUUCUACUCCUAUCACACAUGAGCAGAAAGAUGAUGUGGUUUAUUCUGAGGUGACCGUUGUCAGUAAAAAACAACUGAAGAACAACAUUGUUCAGUCUGCUGGUGAUGUGACUUAUGCCGUCAUCAGAGGAGGAAAAACUGAACCUGAAGACGCCUGCAGAGAGCUUUAAUCCUCCCUGAACAAAACCACUCGCAAAUAAAACACAAACACACAUAAUUAAACAAAACUUAAAUUUCCUUUGACAAACAAACUCAAGUGCAGAUUUGAUUUAUUUGAUGUAUUUUUGGUUGGCUUUGGAAUGUUUGUUUGUUGUCUGUUUGUUUAUUAUUUGAUGUCAUUGUCCACAUGUUAAUGAAUCCUAACACGCCUGAUGAAUUUUCAUAUGUAUUGUUAACAGUGUACGUGAUCAAAUUGGUGUAGUGUCAUGGAAACAGAUUUCUUAGUUUGACUUUUUA